UUUCUAAUAAUUAUUUCUUACCCUAGCUUUGAUUAUUUUGAAUUAGGGCUCUCCUCGUAUACUAGGUUUUCUAACCACGUGAAGCCUAUAUUAGGGAGAUGGGUGCUUUAUUUGAGAAACUUCGAAAUUUGUUGGAGUAUGUGCAAGAUGAAGGUGGAAUCUUGAAGACUAAUUUGUGUGGGGUCAUAAACUAGGGUUCUUGGUUAUAAAGAAUUAAAUUGAAGGCUGUGACAAAGUAGCAGUACUAAGUUCUUAGACUGAUGGAAUUUUCUUGUAAGUACUUCAACAAAAAGUUGAUGUUCAAAUUAAAUAAAUCAAGAACAUAUUUCAUGUGAGAGAAUUAUCCUACUUAUUGGAUGUAGGUCACCAAUAAGGACGAAGUUAACCAACUAGUUUAAAUCUUGAUGUUAUUUUUUAGUUUGUAAAAUUUGAAUAAAAAAAUUGAAGUUUUUUGUGAAGAA